AAUUUCUUCAACCCUUUUAGGCAAUCCCGUGGCAAAGGCUGCAUUAGAACUCAAACCCCGAGACCUUCAAUUCAGUGUGCUUCCGCGAACGUGCUAACACCAAUAAGCUCAGGCUUGAAAAUCAGGUUCCCUAGUAAACAAGCUGGGAUAGGAUGGUGUGUCAGGACACGAGCCCAGGACGGACACUCCCCACCGCUCCCAGGGAAAGGAAUUUCUCCUCAGUCCAGCUAUCUUUCAGGGACACUCAAGUUUUGCAAUCAUCGGACUCAGCAAAGGACAAGGGAAGCAGGAAUCCUUCCGCCCAACGAGCCCAGGUGCAGCGAUCACCACCAACAGGUUGUUGGUGAUUGUACAACAGGUCCCUGUUUGUAAAGCUCGUCCGAAGUCA